rnacentral:rRNA from 1 species
ACCCGUGAUCCGGGUUGCGGACAGUGUCUGGUGGGUAGUUUGACUGGGGCGGUCUCCUCCUAAAGAGUAACGGAGGAGCACGAAGGUUGGCUAAUCCUGGUCGGACAUCAGGAGGUUAGUGCAAUGGCAUAAGCCAGCUUGACUGCGAGCGUGACGGCGCGAGCAGGUGCGAAAGCAGGUCAUAGUGAUCCGGUGGUUCUGAAUGGAAGGGCCAUCGCUCAACGGAUAAAAGGUACUCCGGGGAUAACAGGCUGAUACCGCCCAAGAGUUCAUAUCGACGGCGGUGUUUGGCACCUCGAUGUCGGCUCAUCACAUCCUGGGGCUGAAGUAGGUCCCAAGGGUAUGGCUGUUCGCCAUUUAAAGUGGUACGCGAGCUGGGUUUAGAACGUCGUGAGACAGUUCGGUCCCUA